GAGAGAUUACUGGCCCUACGAGAGUGUGUUAUUUCAUUUGUUCCCUCACAAAUUCCACGCUUCAUUCAAUAUUGAGGCUGGAAGGGUUGGAGGUACAACAAAAUAUAAGCAAUUUUUGAGAGUGAAGCUACUAUCUUAAUAAAGAACUUGGAACCCACCCUACGAGAAUGGGAAACGGACGCCGUUCGCUUGCUCCGUGAUAGUUUUCAAGUCAUCGAAACCCAGGAAUUGAGCGAUGAGGGUAACAAGAAUGAUGACGAGGGUGAGGGGGGAUCAGCGGAAAGUGAUGAAAAAGGCAUACAAGGAGAG